rnacentral:tRNA from 1 species
UCCCUAGUGGCUCAGUUGGUAAAGAAUCCACCUGCAAUAUGGGAGACCUGGGUUUGAUCCCUGGUUUGGGAA